rnacentral:rRNA from 1 species
UACGUAGGGGGCAAGCGUUGUCCGGAAUCAUUGGGCGUAAAGCGCGUGUAGGCGGCUCGGUAAGUCUGCUGUGAAAGUCCAGGGCUCAACCCUGGGAUGCCGGUGGAUACUGUCGAGCUCGAGUCCGGAAGAGGCGAGUGGAAUUCCUGGUGUAGCGGUGAAAUGCGCAGAUAUCGGGAAGAACACCCGUGGCGAAGGCGGUUCUCUGGGACGGUACUGACGCUGAGACGCGAAAGCGUGGGGAGCGAACAGG